GAUGAACGCUGGCGGCGUGCCUAACACAUGCAAGUCGAACGGAGAUUACGGACGGAAGUUUUCGGAUGGAAGACUGUAAUUCUUAGUGGCGGACGGGUGAGUAACGCGUGUGCAACCUGCCCUAUACAGGGGGAUAGCAGCUGGAAACGGCUGGUAAGACCGCAUAAGUCGGCGAGACCGCAUGGUUUUGCCGGGAAAUGAGCAAUCAGGUAUAGGAUGGGCCCGCGUCCGAUUAGCCAGUUGGCAGGGUAAAAGCCUACCAAAGCAACGAUCGGUAGCCGGACUGAGAGGUCGGACGGCCACAUUGGGACUGAGACACGGCCCAAACUCCUACGGGAGGCAGCAGUGGGGGAUAUUGCACAAUGGAGGAAACUCUGAUGCAGCGACGCCGCGUGAGUGAAGAAGUAUUUCGGUAUGUAAAGCUCUAUCAGCAGGGAAGAUGAUGAUGGUACCUGACUAAGAAGCCCCGGCUAACUACGU
rnacentral:rRNA from 1 species